UACAGCUAUACCAUGUUGAAACACCAGUUCUCGUAUGAUAACCGUAGUUAAGCAACGUUGAGCCUGACCACUACCUAGAUAAGUGACUGCUUCGGAAUACCAGGUGCU